GUGUCAGCCGCCGCGGUAAUACGUAGGUGGCAAGCGUUGUCCGGAUUUAUUGGGUUUAAAGGGUGCGUAGGCGGUUUUCUAAGUCAGCAGUGAAAUACGGCAGCUCAACUGUCGAGGUGCUGUUGAUACUGGGGAACUUGAGUACUGAUGAGGUAGGCGGAAUGGACGGUGUAGCGGUGAAAUGCUUAGAGAUCGUCCAGAACACCGAUAGCGAAGGCAGCUUACUAAGGAGUAACUGACGCUGAGGCACGAAAGUGUGGGGAUCAAACAGGAUUAGAUACCCGGGUAGUCC
rnacentral:rRNA from 1 species